rnacentral:rRNA from 1 species
GAGGAAUUUUCCGCAAUGGGCGAAAGCCUGACGGAGCAAUGCCGCGUGAAGGAUGAAGGCCUAUGGGUUGUAAACUUCUUUUCUCAGAAAAGAAUUAUGACGGUAUCUGAGGAAUAAGCAUCGGCUAACUCUGUGCCAGCAGCCGCGGUAAGACAGAGGAUGCAAGCGUUAUCCGGAAUGAUUGGGCGUAAAGCGUCUGUAGGUUGUUUAAAAAGUAUUCUGUCAAAGAUUAGGGCUUAACCCUAGAUAGGCAGAAUAAACUUUUAAGCUAGAGUUUGGUAGAGGCAGAGGGAAUUCCCGGUGGAGCGGUGAAAUGCGUAGAUAUCGGGAGGAACACCAAAGGCGAAGGCACUCUGCUGGGCCAAUACUAACACUGAGAGACGAAAGCGAGGGGAGCAAAUGGGAUUAGAAACCCGAGUAGUCC